rnacentral:lncRNA from 1 species
GCUGCCCCCCCCCCCCCCAACUUAGUGUCCAGGGGGCUCUGGCAGGGUCUGACUGCCCCUCAACCCCCUCAGGUAAGAUGCAGCCCUGGCCCAACCUGGAAGAAGAAAUCGACUUACUGGCUAACAUGCUGGCCCAUCAAGACCCUGUCCCCCAUCGCCAGGAUACUGUCCCCCAGCGCUUCCGCUGGCCUGCCACCCUGGUGUCCCCAGGACAGGAGCCUGAUACCCCAUCCCCUCAGGGCGCUCAAGUUCCCACCGUCAGAGCCUCUCAUUCAUCUUCGAGGCCUGUGGAGAUGUCACCUGUGGAUCCCCCACACCCAUCUAAUGAUGUCCUCGUUCUCAUGAUGAUCGUGGUCUGUGCAGUGGCUGGGCUCUCGGCGCUGGUUGUAGCUGUUGUCUGCUGGUGCAGGUGAGACCCUGGUGAGACCCCCCACCUCCUAUGGGCAUGCACC